rnacentral:rRNA from 1 species
UACGUAGGGGGCAAGCGUUGUCCGGAUUUAUUGGGCGUAAAGAGCGUGUAGGCGGCCAGGGAGGUCCGUUGUGAAAACUCGAGGCUCAACCUCGAGACGCCGAUGGAAACCCCCUGGCUAGAGUCCGGAAGAGGAGAAUGGAAUUCCUGGUGUAGCGGUGAAAUGCGCAGAUAUCAGGAGGAACACCGGUGGCGAAGGCGGGUCUCUGGGCAACAACUGACGCUGAGGAGCGAAAGCGUGGGGAGCGAACAGG